rnacentral:rRNA from 1 species
CAGUCGCCACGGUAAAACGUAGGGUGCGAGCGUUAAUCGGAAUUACUGGGCGUAAAGCGUGCGCAGGCGGUUAUAUAAGACAGAUGUGAAAUCCCCGGGUUCAACCUGGGACCUGCAUUUGUGACUGGCGAGCUAGAGUAUGGCAGAGGGGGGUAGAAUUCCACGUGUAGCAGUGAAAUGCGUAGAGAUGUGGAGGAAUACCGAUGGCGAAGGCAGCCCCCUGGGCCAAUACUGACGCUCAUGCACGAAAGCGUGGGGAGCAAACAGGAUUAGAUACCCGCGUAGUCCCUGUCUCUUAUAA